rnacentral:tRNA from 4 species
AGGUCCGUGGUGUAAAGGAUAUCAUAUGGGCCUCCGGAGCCCAUGAUCCGGGUUCAAUUCCCGGUGGACCUG